GUGGGGAAUAUUGGUCAAUGGACGGAAGUCUGAACCAGCCAUGCCGCGUGAAGGAUGAAGGCGUUCUGCGUUGUAAACUUCUUUUAUCAGAGAAGAAACCACUGAUUUCUAUUAGUGUUGACGGUAUCUGAUGAAUAAGCACCGGCUAACUCCGUGCCAGCAGCCGCGGUAAUACGGAGGGUGCAAGCGUUAUCCGGAUUUACUGGGUUUAAAGGGUGUGUAGGCGGGCUAUUAAGUCAGGGGUGAAAUCCCGGGGCUCAACCUCGGAACUGCCUUUGAUACUAUUAGUCUUGAGUUAUGUUGAGGUUGGCGGAAUAUAACAUGUAGCGGUGAAAUGCAUAGAUAUGUUAUAGAACACCGAUUGCGAAGGCAGCUGGCUAAACAUAUAUUGACGCUGAGGCUCGAAAGCGUGGGUAGCGAACAGGAUUAGAUACCCUUGUAGUCC
rnacentral:rRNA from 1 species